CUUGAUAUCACGUGGUUUCUUGAACAUAUUUAGAAAAAGGAGGGUUUUUAACCCGACGAAGAAUUGUGGAAACUCCGGGUAUAUUUCUAUUAAUCUUCUUCUUAAAAAGUGAGUAUAAUCCAUUUGUUCAUUGUUUUAUCUUUUUGAUUUGUCGGGAAAAUAACAAUAACAAAAAUGUUCAAUUUUACUUUCGUUUUUACGGUACAUUACUCAUGAAAAUAAUCAACAACUGAUAAUAACUAGUGCAAGCCCCGACGAGUUUUUAAAAUUUGAUUUAAAUGUCGAUUUGAAUCCUAUUUUAUUUAUAGUUUACACCUGCAUUAUAUACAAUGUAAGUUCACAUAUAUUAAUUUGAAAUGAACAGAUAUAAAUGUAAUAUUUGAUACAUGUACAUGUGCAUAGAUACAUGUGUAUGAUAGUGAGGUCUCAAGUCAUAAACGAGGUAAUUUACACAAAAUAGCCAAAGCUUAAACGACAGCUAACCGAGAGAUGGUCGGUUAAUCUAUAUUGAGUAUGCGGCUAUAUCGGCGGUGUGUCUGUUAAUCGGGUUGGUUAUACGUCUGUUAAGAGUAAAACUCACAAUUUAAUGUUAAACUCUGUUAAAUAUACAGAUUUUUGACAUAUUAUGAGAACCACAUCAAAAAAAGAAAAGUGUCUGACAAAAUGAUAUCUAUCAUAGAACAUUUUCCACCAGUAAAAAAAAUACAUAGCCUGCGCAAUUUUAAGUAAACGAAAAGGCGUCGCGCAAGUAUGUGUUUUUUAUGCUUGUACGCAUAGCAAUAUUUUGGAUAAAAGGCUAAAAAACAUUUUUAGAUAUGAUUUAAAGGACACAAAAUAGUACUUUGGUUCUAAAAAAAUAAUUGUCAUUGAUAAAUAUUUCAUAAUUGUUAUAUAAGUUGAGUUAUACCACAUUUUAAUGAAUAUUAGGGGAAUACAGUCUGUUAAUGGGUUGGACAAUUUAAAUCGUGUCAGUUAAGAGUUAUUUAGCCACGACAAUAGUCUUACUACCUUGUGUUUAUAUUUUCACAUUGAAAAAAAUGAGAUGUACUUGUGACGAAAAAAUUACAAUACGGUGCAACAGUAUCCUUAUAGAAAGAGCACUUUUAUUUUAAUUUUUUAUUUCUUUGCAUUUCAUUGAAGGGUGUGUCACUUCAAUAUAGCGUUAUAUGGACUGAUUGGCCGCUCGAAUUCGCACGAAUUUAUUAUUUACGCCAAGUUAUCAAUCAGCCUUAUUUUUUUUGUCUGUUCAAAGUCUGUAACAUCUAUGAAUCUGUCAUGUGUUGCAAUGCAGCUGGUUAAAUUCAAUGCGUUUUCUUUGAAAUACUAAGGCUUUUCUACCUCAGGAAUAGAUUACCUUAUGCCGGCGUCACACACAUUGGCGUAUAGACCGGCGUGCACCAAACGUACAGAGAAAAUUGACAAAGUCGGUAUACGUUAGUUGCAUGCCAUAGGAACGCUUAGCAAUCGUUCAAAGCGCGUUGCAUAAGUUUGAAGUACGUCGAAAUACAAAGGUAAAAUUGAGAAAGGAAAUGGGGAAUGUGUCAAAGCGACAACAACCCGACCAUAGAGCAGGCAACAGACAAAGGCCACCAAUGGGUCUUCAAUGUAGAGAGAAACUCCCGCACCCGUAGGCGUCCUUCAGCUGGCCCCUUAAAAAAUAUGUAUACUAGUACAGUGAUAAUGGACGUCAUAAUAAACUCCGAAUUAUACACAAAACUAAAAUUAAAAAUCAUAUAAGACUAACAAAGGCCAGAGGCUCCUGACUUGGGACAGGCGCAAAAUUGCGGCGGGGAUAAACAUGUUUAUGAGAUAUCAACCCUCCCCCUAUACCUCUAGCCAAUGAAGGAAAGUAAAUACGCUUGAUGAACGCUACAACCCGAGGAAAUUUGUAUGCAGCAUAAAAAACAUACAACAUACGCCAACAUACGUUUCUUGAACGCCGGAUAAACGCUUAGCUUAGGUACGCUUCUAGUACGCCCAAUACACGCUUAAAGCUCGUUUUGCACACGUUACAAAUAUGAUUGACAGGUUAAAUGCAUCCAAAAUUACUAGCGUAUUGGCAGCGUAAAUGAUUUUGAACACGCCAGUGCUAUACGCUGAUGUGUGACGCCGGUAUUAGUUGUGUUUCCUCAAUGCUUUUCAACUUCGUAUUUUAUUUGGCCUUUUAAACAUUUUUUUUCGAGCGUCACUGAUGAGUUUUUCGUAGACGAAACGCGUGUCUGGCGUAAAUAUAAGGCGUAAAUAUAAAAUUUCAAUCCUGGUAUCUAUGAGGAGUUUAUUUCCGGUAUGUAUUUUCCUUUGUACCGAGUCAUCAUUCUCAUUUUCUGCCGCCUAAGGAAAUGUCUGUACCAAGUUUUAAACCGUGGUUCUAAACAAGAAAUUGACAUUAGUAAGUUUUUUUAUAUUUGUGUUGGGUGCUGAUUUAAUGUGUAACAAAAAGAAAAUUUUAUAUUCCUGUAAAUCACAAUAAAUGCAUAAUAUUAAUUUUAUUUUUCGAGUAAUGAUGUAUUCCUAUGAUAUCGUAAGUCAUUUAGCCGACUCGCAGUCCGCAAACGUGCUUGUUUUUCUAUCGAGUGACCUUCAAGGUGGUGUUUGUUUGCAUUAUAAACAUAUUUUAGUUCAUUUGAUAAAAAAAAAAAAUAAAAGUGAAAACUAAAUUAUGCAUAUGUUACACAUGGUCUUAUAAUAUUAAACGUUUAAUUUGAGUUUUCCGCGAUGUAUGAUCACUACAAAGUAACUACCAAUCGAUUUAUCAGUACUGUAUGAAAACGUUUGGAAACUUAAUGUGAUGAUACAGUGCAUGUAAUAUCAGAUUCAUCAAUGGCAACAUAUAAACUUAUGUUUCAUUGUUCAUGUGUUGUUUCCAUAUAUUCUAGCCACUAAUCUUGAGCUUAUCCCUUUAUUCAGAUAACACCCCAUAUAGCAAUUAAAUUAUACUUGUAAUGUCAUUCAUAACUCUUAACAGACCAAUUAACAGACCGGGUUUUAUACAUCCGACCCAUUAACAGACCACAUUUUUAUCAAAAAUUGAUUUAUGUCACCAAAAUACAGUUUUUCGUGUAGAUUUUUCACAUAUUGAUGUUAAUAUGGUAAACAAACAUAAUGCCUGUCUUUUUUCGAUGUUAAAAAUAUUGCAUGCAAGUAAACUCAACCAACUUGUCAUUUUUGUGUACAUUUUGUGUGUGUAAAAUGUGUAUAAAUUUACUGAUGAGUAACUCGCCUUUUCAUUUUAUAGAUCGUUUAUUGAAGCUAGAAAAAAAAUAAUUACACCACUGGAUUCAGUACUCCAAAUCGUUUUGUCAGACAUGAAUAGUUUUUAUGAUAUAAAUAUAAUUAAAAAGUUAUACAAUGAAACAUACUGACCUUGCAAUGAUUUUCUCGAUAACACCUGAUUAACAGACUUUAGCCAACCCGAUUAACAGACCAACCGCCGAUAUAGCCGCAUACUCAAUAUAGAUUAACCGACCUAUCUCUCGGUUAGCCGAGCGUCGGCCGUGAGGUUAAGGCCAGUAACUCCUUUUUUAUUUUUUAUUUUUGAUUUGUCGGGAAAUAAAAAUAACACUAAUGUUCAGUUUUACUUUCGUUUUCAUGGUACAUUGCUCAUGGAAAUAAUCCACAAAUUAACUAGUGCAAGCCUAGAAGAGUUUUAAAAUUUUAUUUCAACGUCCAUUUGAGUCCUACUUUAUUUAUUUAAAAAAAUCUGAGACCUUAAUGUUGUCCUUAAUUUCCGGAUUUGCAGGCUUUUAAAAUUUGGGGACAAUACAGGAGGAUCUGUUUUUUCUCUCUAUUUUUCUCUCUAUUUUUCUCUAUUGUGUACACCAUCAUACUGUGAUUCGUUUUUCAAAAUAGUUCGUAUUUCAUAUAUAUAAUUAUGCUAUGCGCAUUUUGUUGAGCUAACAGAGCAAUGAUAUAAGUAACAACUCAUUGAAUUAUAGAGGCAGUCGACAAUGUAACAGACGCAGUCAGAAUUUGGUUGACCGUUUUGGAAUAUAUAUUUCAAAGAUGACGACGGAUAUGUUUAAAAUGUUGUUACCAAAAUAAUAGGUCUCGUCCUCAUUUUCUCGAACAUGAUUUAUCACCUUGUAUAUACUUACAUCAGCAACGUUAUCUGCUUUCCAUUCUAGCGCACCUUGGACCACCCACAUUUUUGGUGGAGUUCGUGUUGCUCAUUCUCUAGUUUUCUAUGUUGUGUUUUGUGAACUGUUGUUUGUCUUUUCGUCGUUUGCCUUGGAAUAGCCAGUCUAUUUUCGACUCAUUGAUUUAAAUGUCCCUUCGGUAGCUUUUGACUGCUUUUUGAAAUUCUAGAUGUGUAUGUCAGUUUAAACUCAUUUCCAAAGACAGUGUACAAAAAUGUGAGAGGAGAUACGAGAAAUACGACAACACAUUCUCAAUAUUUUAUUCACCUUCACCGUGUUUUAUUGGUGUUUGCUACUUGAAUUAAAAUGUAUACUAGUAACCUAUAUUAUUCUGUUUCAGGGUCAUAAUGUCCGAUUCCAAAGCUCUAUGUGGCGUGUGCUGUCUUCGUCACCUUUCCAAACCAUCAACUGAUUGGUGUCUUGAAUGUGAAGAAGGACUUUGUUUGGACUGCAAAGAACAUCAUAGUUUACUUAAGGCAACACGGAACCAUAAUAUCAUUCCUAUUACUGUGUAUCAGAAGUUACCACAAAAUGUGCUAGAAAUCACGCAGUACUGCAGAAAUCACGAAGAAAUUUUUCAAACGUUUUGCAAAAAACACGAUUGCCCUUGCUGUAGAAAAUGUAUUAUUGAAACACACAACAACUGCAUUGAUAUAAUCGAAAUAGAAGAUUACAUAAAAGAUGUUAAGUCCUCGGCUAGGUGUAAUGAGCUCGAAAAAAUGCUGAAUGAAACAGCUGAAAACGUCCGAAGAAUCCGUAUCAACAGGCAGGAAAACCUUAUAUCACUACAGGAAGCAAGAAAGAAAAUAGAACAUGACAUUGUACAGACCAGGACCAAAAUCAAUAACCACCUAGACAAACUGCAAGCCGACUUAAUUCAAGAUUUAUAUGUGAAAGAAUUAAAAGAACGCAAAAAAAUACAACAGGUAUUAAAAUCGUUAGAAGAGAGAGAGGGUCAAUUAAAGAUAAGUCAAACUAACUUUGUAAACAUAAAGAAAUAUGCGAAUGAUAUUCAACUUUUUCUUUCAAUGAAACAAAUAGAAAACAGCAUAGUAAAAGAUGAAGAAUUUGUCGAAUCAUUGAUAGAAAAUAGAAGCAUUUGUCAAGUUGGAUUAGAUUUGAAAUACACAAUUUACACCGAAUUCCUUACUGUUGGUAUGCCGUCCAUAGGACAAGUGGGUGUUGAUUACUCUCCAAGACAAGUCAGUAUCAUGAAAAAGAAGGAAAUGCAAGCGCAGACAAAGGCGACCAAAGCAACGAUAAGGCCAAUUGCAAAUAUCGCCCUUAAGAUUGAAAAGAAAAUAAGCGCAUGUGGAGAAGGAGUGACGGGGUGUACGCUACUUCCACACGGCACUAUAGCCUUUGCAAAUGAAAAGAAAAGGAACAUAAUAGUGGUAAAAUAUGACGGGUCACUUGACUUUCACAUCGAUUUAAAUCCAUACGCUCCUUUUGAUAUCACAUACAUACCAAAUACCAAUGCCAUAGCUGUCACAUCAAAGAGUUCUAAAGACAUUAAAAUCGUUGAUAUAAAUGCAAGAGGAGUGCUGAAAACAUACUGUUUAGACUCACCCUGUGCUGGUAUAUCGUAUUCAGAAAACAAGAUUAUUUUAUGCUCCAAAGAAAAGGGAAUACUUGAAUUGAAUCUACGUGAUGGAUCAGUAAAGACCAUUGUAUCGGACAAAAUGAAUCAUUACUCUCAUGUUACUCUUCUAGGGGAUAACAUCUACUACACAAAGCCAAAUAAUCACUCAGUGAUAUGUUGUGAUCUACAAGGAAACAUACAGUGGACAUUCCAAAAUCCAAAGCUAUUAAGACCAUUCAGUGUCACUGUAGAUACUGACGGAAAUGUUUACGUCGCUGGCAAUAACUCUGAUAAUGUUAUUGUCAUAUCUUCAGACGGUCAACAACACAAACAAAUGUUGUCUUCCAAAGAUGGUGUCAAGUAUCCAAAUGGUUUGAUCUACGAUAGACAUAAUAACCAGUUACUUGUUACAAAUUAUUUGCAAGGUGCAGUUUUGUAUAAUGUAACAUGAGUAGAAUAACAUUAUACAGAUAUGUAGUUUUAUUUUCCUAUUUGAGAGUUGCCGAACCAAAUGUUUGUAGAAGCUUAUAACAAAUAAUAAUUCAGUUUUAAAAAUAAAUCUUUCACCGUGAUAAAAAAAAAAGUUUUUAUGUACAUUCUUAUUGCUGUAUAUAAUGUUCAACUUCAAUGGGAACGCUCAAAGCAUAAUUCUUGGGGAGUCAAAAGAUGGAUUUGAUUUAAGGGAACUAUCGUUCGAUUUGAUUUCAAAUGAAGAUUUUUUUUUUUAAUCCAGUAUGAGAAAGGAACGUGGCAGUACAUUAUAGACCCACUAGAAUGAAAACGUAAUCCAGGAGCAAAAUAAAGGA
rnacentral:lncRNA from 1 species